AGUGAACGCUGGCGGUAGGCCUAACACAUGCAAGUCGAACGGCAGCACAGUAAGAGCUUGCUCUUACGGGUGGCGAGUGGCGGACGGGUGAGGAAUACAUCGGAAUCUACUUUUUCGUGGGGGAUAACGUAGGGAAACUUACGCUAAUACCGCAUACGACCUACGGGUGAAAGCAGGGGAUCUUCGGACCUUGCGCGAUUGAAUGAGCCGAUGUCGGAUUAGCUAGUUGGCGGGGUAAAGGCCCACCAAGGCGACGAUCCGUAGCUGGUCUGAGAGGAUGAGCAGCCAAACUGGAACGAAGACACGGUCCAGACUCGUACGGGAGGCAGCAGUGGGGAAUAUUGGACAAGGGGCGAAAGCCUGAUCCAGCCAUACCGCGUGGGGGAAGAAGGCCUUCGGGUGGUAAAGCCCUUUUGUGGGGAAAAAAAAGCAGCAGGUUAAAACCCCGCUGUUCUGACGGUACCCAAAGAAUAGGCACCGGCUAACUUGGU
rnacentral:rRNA from 1 species